GCCGAUGUAGCUCAAUUGGUAGAGCAACUGAUUUGUAAUCAGUAGGUUGGUGGUUCAAGUCCACUCGUCGGCU
rnacentral:tRNA from 3 species